UGAGAACUGAAUUCCAUGGACUG
rnacentral:ncRNA from 8 species